rnacentral:lncRNA from 1 species
GGCCUUUUGAUGCAGAUUUUCAUUGUAGGUACAAUGCUUGAAGUGUUUCUUACCAGAAAUGAUGUGUUUAAACUAGAAGCAAAAAACAAUAGAAUAAAAAAGCAAUUGCUCUCAGAUCUUUUCUUGGUUGGGUGAAGCAAUUUACAGUGAAACCCAGGAGUGGAGGCCCUCAGCAUAACCUAAAGAGUGAUUUGCUGCAGCCACCUUGUGUCGAAAAUGGAAAUUACAGCUCUCAAAAUAUUUUAGCCAGGCAAGGUCAAACUACUGUUAUUAUUGCUCAUUGGCUCUCCAGCGCUCAGACUGCAGAUGUAACAGUAGGCAUUGUGGAUGGCGCAGUGGUUGAAUGGGAACACACACAGAGCUGAUGGAGAAAAAGGAGACAGAUUAUUCACUUACAGCCUCACAGAAGAAAUCUCGGUUCACUUCCAGUGAAGUACCCUGCACUGAACUGGAAAUAGUAAAAGACUAUUGACUCCCUCGGAGAUGCAUAUUGUCCCACAG